CUUGACAUCCAGAGAACUUUCCAGAGAUGGAUUGGUGCCUUCGGGAACUCUGAGACAGGUGCUGCAUGGCUGUCGUCAGCUCGUGUUGUGAAAUGUUGGGUUAAGUCCGCAACGAGCGCAACCCCUAUCCUUUGUUGCCAGCGAUUCGGUCGGGAACUCAAAGGAGACUGCCGGUGAUAAACCGGAGGAAGGUGGGGAUGACGUCAAGUCAUCAUGGCCCUUACGAGUAGGGCUACACACGUGCUACAAUGGCGUAUACAAAGAGAAGCAACCUCGCGAGAGCAAGCGGACCUCAUAAAGUACGUCGUAGUCCGGAUUGGAGUCUGCAACUCGACUCCAUGAAGUCGGAAUCGCUAGUAAUCGUAGAUCAGAAUGCUACGGUGAAUACGUUCCCGGGCCUUGUACACACCGCCCGUCACACCAUGGGAGUGGGUUGCAAAAGAAGUAGAUAGCUUAACCUUCGGGAGGGCGUUUACCACUUUGUGAUUCAUGACUGGGGUGAAGUCGUAACAAGGUAAGCGUAGCGAG
rnacentral:rRNA from 1 species